rnacentral:rRNA from 1 species
GACGAACGCUGGCGGCGUGCUUAACACAUGCAAGUCGAACGGAAAGGCCCUGCUUUUGUGGGGUGCUCGAGUGGCGAACGGGUGAGUAACACGUGAGUAACCUGCCCUUGACUUUGGGAUAACUUCAGGAAACUGGGGCUAAUACCGGAUAGGAGCUCCGCCUGCAGGGGGGGGGUUGGAAAGUUUGGGCGGUUGGGGAUGGCCUGCCGGCUAAUCGGCUGGUGGGUGGGGUAGUGGCUAACCAAGGCUUUGGUGGGUGGCCGGCCUGGGAGGGUGACCGGCCACAUUGGGAUGGGGAUACGGCCCAGACUCCUACGGGGGGCAGCAGUGGGGAUUAUGGAACAAUGGGCGGAAGCCGGAGGCAGCAAGGCCGCGGGCGGGAUGACGGCCUUCGGGUGUAAAACCGCUUUCGCAGGUGACGAAGCGUGAGUGACGGUACCGGGUAAAGAAGCACCGGCUAACUACGUG